AAAAAGAAAGAAAAGAAAAAGAAGAAAAAGAAGGAAAAAAAAAUUGUCAAGCCCCCGAACUGAAGGUUACGAGCGGCCCGUCAGCAGCCCACAUGUAACCGAACUGUCGUGUUUCAUGGCUUUUUGCCACUCCAGCUGUCAAUCAAAGCCCGGAAUGUCAAGGUAGUGAAUGAAUGAUGGUUGAUGAUGAUGAAGAGGAGGAAUCUUUCAGACCCGUUUUUUUCUUCCAGUAAAACUCCACGAGGGGUUUCUGCUUCUUGAAUUUUUUCCUCCCCCCUCCCCCCUCUUUUAGCUUUGCCCCCGCGGUAUCUACAAUAUGAUCCUCUCUCUUUAAAGUAUUGUUCAAAGAAAGCAGGGAGAAAAAUCAAGAAAAAAAUGAAUAGUUUGCAAAAAUUGGACUUCCUCCCCCCCUUUCCUGGACAAGAGGAGACCAGCUUAACUCAGAGCACACUCUCUCCAAGCGGUGCGGACUAGGGGCCACCUCGGAGAGUCUUUGGGGGCCUCGGUGGAAUUGGGAGGGAGGAAGUGAGGAGGGAGUCAUUUGGGUGUUUGAUGUUGUUUGAUGUAGUCGUGAAGGGGGUGGGGGGUAAUGCGCGCGCGUGCGCGCGCGAUUGGUGUGCGCCUCCAAAGUGGAUCUCACUUGGAUUUGGAAAGCACUGGAGGGAAAGAACCGGGAGAGAGAAAAAGAGAGGAGGAAAGAGACGAUGCCGUGUAAGGAGGAGUGGCUGGUGCUCCCGGCCCAGCUUUGUUGUGGUCUCUAGAGGCGCAGCGGCCAGGCGGCCGGAUCGCUUGCUCACCGCUGUGUUAAUUACACUGGGGCGAUUCCGCGCGGUCGGGAAGAAGGGGACGGCUCCGAAGGAACUUUUCCAAAAAGGGAAAGGAGGAAGGGGGGAGAAAGAUAACUAUCCCAACAGUUUGUGUGGGAAGUAGUUCUGGCGGGUGUCUGGUCCAAACCCUAGCCCGAGCUGCACCCGACUUCACCUCCGCUGGGCCGGUUUCCCGGCGGCCGCGCGUCAAUCACGCCCUGCCCGGAGCUGGGGGCGGAGCUACGGUCACUCCGCGCGCCCGGCGCAGCAGCCCCGCCGCCCCUCUGCUCCCGGCAACGCAGCCCAGCCAGGUUCUGUGUUGGGCGCGCGCCCUCUUCCCAACUUCUCGCUCUCGCCCGGGUUCUUGAAUCCUGGUCCAGAGAGUCGAAAACGACUUUUCUUCAACAGCCGCCUCCUUUCCUAACUUUGAAUUCAUUCUGGAAAAUAGAAAGCGUAUUCUACGUGCGCCGCUUUGACCUGACUUUCCGUGGGGUGUGUGAUUAGGAAGAAUAAAAUACUCUGUGUGUGUGUGUGUGUGUGUGUGUGUGUGCGUGUGUGCGUGUGAGUGUGUGUGUGUGUUUGCGCGCGCGCACGGGUGGGAGUGAGGCGAGGGCGGGUGAGAGAGUUGGGAUUUUUUUUUUUUUGCCCCCUUUCCAGCUUUUCUGCUUCGCUGUAAGCUUUUGAGCAACACAACCUAGGGUAAGAUCGCAGCUUGCAGAGACUCCGGAGUCGGAGAAAUUUGGCCUUUUUAAAUAGGGCUGGGGAAUGAGCUCCGGAGGUCAAUAAAGCCCUCCAAAAAUGAUGAAUGAUUGAGCACCUGUGAUGGUGAUAGUGAUUACCAGAGCAAUUAAACAGUUUGAUUAAAUGAGCCAUCAUAACAAUGAUGUCUGCGGGAAAUCGGCCCUCACAUAUAAAGAAAGAUAGUGCGGGGAGGCUGGCAGUGACACGGAUAGCGCGACGCCAGGGAGAGGGACUGUGGACCACGAAGUGUUUGCCGGGGUGGCUCGGGCAGGGACUGCCAGGUUCGCGGAGCCUCAGCGAGGGGAGUCUAGCCAGAUUUUCAGCCACUCUUUUUUGCCUGGCUUCAAGCCUGCUAGAGCCAACGGGCAUAAAACCUGAAAGUUGGGGGGAGGGUCCCCCUCCGCCUCCUCUUUUUUUUUUUUUUUUUCCUAGAAGAACUCCAAGAUUAAAAAUAUCCUUCCUAUUUGUUGCGGAGUUGCUCGUCGACACAUAAGAAAAGGUGAAUUUGUCCACUCUUCUAAGGAAGCUUCUGUGGCAAUUUCUUUUUGUUUUUAAAGAAAGUUAUAGCUCCUCAGCCCAGAAAACUUCAAAUGCCUUAGAACGGAUUUCCAGCAAGUCUGGUAGAAAAGACAGGGCCACUUCUGGACUAGCUGUAAGAAAGUGGUUUUGUUUCUGUAAUACUGAGGCACGUUUUAUAAAUCGCUGAAUACAUUAAAAUAAGUCUCUAUGAACACUAAAAGAAGUUACACAUACAAAGAUAGCUUCACUGUAUGCCGUCCAUCCGGCAUUAAAAAAAAAAUUCUGAAUCUGAGAAGCUUUUCCAUACCCAUCCUUGCCUCAAAAGAUUUAAAGUGCAAAGCAAGAGAAAGUUUCCAACGUGCGUCUCUACGUCUUCGCGUGCGCGUUUAUAAACAUCUUCCAGUCGGUGUUUGCCUGUUACCUCCCUCCUGCCACACUCUCCGAAGGCAGAGGCGUCGAGGGAUCGCCCCCAGAGAGCUGUGUUUACUUAGGUUUUUUUUUAAUCUCUCCGCCAUGUAUGACAAGUGUUACUUCAAGAAAUUCAUCAGCCUUCUACAGAUACUUCCAGUUUUGCUGUAAUGAUCUGCAGAAGAGAACUGCCAUCACUUUCUCACAUCCCAAGGUGUUGCAGGAACUCAGAGAGGGGAGAGUGGCUGAAACGCUUAAUUACUGUGGGGGAGGGAGGGGCGCAUCGCG